rnacentral:lncRNA from 1 species
CCCUAUCUCGGGCCGCCGCGCCUAGGCCCGUGAGCAGCCUGUGGUGGGGCAUGGCGGCACAGCCACCGGCGUGCCCGCGAGGCCUCGGGACCCAGACCAGGAUUUCCAUCAGCUCCCCUGGCUCGCAGGCCUUCUGACUUCUGACUCACCAUCAGCUCUCCUGGAUCCAGCUUGCCAAUGGCAGAUCGUGGGACUCCUUGCCCUCUAAUCGCAUGAAACAAUGCCCACAGGGCAGGUCUCACUAUGUUGCCCAUUCUGGUCUUGAACUCUUGGACUCAAGCAAUCCUCCCACCUCGGACUUCCAAAGUGCUGGAAUCACAGGCUUGAGAUACCAUGCCCAGCCAAUUUAUUGUGAUGGUGAGCUCCUUAGAGGGAAGUAUAGUACAUAUUUCCUCCAUGUCUCCAGUACCCAACACAGUGCCUGACGUUGAGAGGGCUCUUAAUAAGUGUUUGUGAAAGACUGGUAGAGCAAUGCCCUAUGAAACAAGAAGCUGGAUAACACUGCUUAGGACUCAGAGGAGAGAGGAGUGUGGUCUACACUGCACAUCUCUGCCAAGCCUGGCACGGGAUUUGAAGUUCCACACCACUGAGCCAAACACAUCCAGACCCUCUUCCAACGAUCUGAGAAACAGGAAGUUGUGUUUGGCUGCGGACAAACUCUCUCAGUGCCCCUGGGACUUACAAGAUGUUUGGAAUGAGGAACGGCAGCUCUCCCAAUGCGAGCUCAGCGGAGGCCCCCAGAAAAACGUGGGGAGGAGAGUUUUCCCCAUAAGACAGACUGUCCUUCAGCCCCGGCCACCAAAGAGGAGUAACCCGGGCCUGCUGUUCUCUGGGACUGAAUGCGGCUGCAUCCUUCCCUUCCUCUGCUUCCUGUCCCGGUACUUACUGACGGUGCACAUGCGGGGCUUGGGGAAGCUGAGUGUCUAACCGCGGUGCAGCUACGGAUGGGAAAUUCUGGGCAGGGACGAGCCUGUCUUCACCUGAGGAAUUCCCUCCCACAUCACACAGGGCAGAGUGGGAGUGGAGGAGGGCAGAGGACACGUCUCAGGGCCAGUAACCUAGGCUUAUAGAAGACGUCAUCACCGUCCUCAUGAUGUUCACCCCGUCUCCUGUUUUUUGGGGCCAUGUGUUCCGAAAUGUAGCUUCAACUCAUCAUAGGGGCAAAAAGAAGUGAUGAGUCUGUGGCAGCAGAAAUCUGGGAAUCCAAGGGUCGUGCUACAUUUUUCGAGAAACCAUUUUGAAUUCCCAAACAGCAAAGGAAAUGCUGCAGGUUCCUGGAGGGACCUGGUGAUCUGGGGCAGAGCACACGGAGUCGAGAUUGCUGCGGGGUUCACGAGCCUCCCCUCCUGGGACCAGGGGCACCUGGGCAGGGUAGUCUGCACCACGCAGGAAAGCCCAGUACACGCAGCUGCUCAACGCUGCAGACGCCAUAGCGCAGGGCUGACAAGGCCUCCCUCUUUAUCUGCCCUGGACCACAAGUGGAAAAUAUCAAGACAAAGCAAAAGCCAGUAUCCCUUAAGAACUUUCCAAUUGUUCUUGUCAUUUGUAGUUUUGUUUUUUGGGGGGUGUGGGGAGGGAGGGGUGGUUUGAAACAACUCCGGAGCACACUCCAGAGGAAAACAGGAAGGGUGACAUGUUUGGACACCAGAAAAGAGGAAGAGUCCUCACUAAGAGGGUGACUUGGUUAAAAAGUUCAAGCACAAAGGAUGUAGAAGCAGGUGGAUGUCAUCAGAGAACAGAUGCGGAUCUAGUGAGAUGGGUCCUACCACCCCUGGAAUAUGUUCCUGGGAGAGGGGUGGUCUGCUAGAGUGGACUGGGAAUAGUAAUAUUGCAUACUUUUGUAAAUUCACAAAACCCUCUGAUCUGUGAUAGAGGAAUAAAGGGCAGAGGAUAAACCCCAGAUAAAGAUUCACUUAUCUUAAAAAUGAAAGGUUGGAAAUUAACUUUAUGCUACUGUACCACCUUCGAAGUAUUUCUGGCAGGUGCCUGGAGGAUUCAGAUUAAUGACCAAAUUACCUGCCAAGUCAGGGCCUCCCAUUAGAAGAGAGUACCAGUUUCCAUUAGGAGCACUAGCUGGAAAACACAAUCUUUCAGCAGAGGAAAUACAGUCUUCUCUCCUUC